UACGGAGGAUCCGAGCGUUAUCCGGAUUUAUUGGGUUUAAAGGGUGCGUAGGCGGUCUGACAAGUCUGAUGUGAAAUCUAUGGGCUCAACCCAUAGUCUGCAUCGGAAACUGUCGGGCUUGAGUAUGGGAGAGGUGAGUGGAAUUUCCGGUGUAGCGGUGAAAUGCGUAGAUAUCGGAAGGAACACCUGUGGCGAAGGCGGCUCACUGGACCAUUACUGACGCUGAGGCACGAAAGCUAGGGGAGCAAACAGG
rnacentral:rRNA from 1 species